UCCCCGUUAUCCUGGGCAGUCCCUCCAGAGUUCCCGGCAUGACCCGUUGGCAACUGGAGGCAAGGGUUGCGCUCGUUGCGGGACUUAACCCAACACCUCACGGCACGAGCUGACGACAGCCAUGCAGCACCUGUGCUGGCUCCCCUUGCGAGGUCAUCCCCGUUUCCGGUUCUUACCACCAGCAUGUCAAACCUGGGUAAGGUGGGGAUGACGUUCCGCAACUAACCA
rnacentral:misc_RNA from 1 species